GGNUGGCAGCAGUAGGGAAUNUUAGUAAUGGGCGAAAGCCUGAACUAGCAACACCGCGUGUGCGAAGAAGGCCUUCGGGUUGUAAAGCACUNUUCGGGAGGAUGAGGAAGGACGGUANUCCCGGAAUAAGUCUCGGCUAACUACGUGCCAGCAGCCGCGGUAAAACGUAGGAGGCAAACGUUAUCCGGAUUUACUGGGCGUAAAGCGCGUGUAGGUGGUUUGGUAAGUAGGGCGUGAAAGCUCCUGGCUCAACUGGGAGAGGUCGUUCUAAACUGCCGAGCUAGAGGAUGGUAGAGGGAGGUGGAAUUCCGGGUGUAGCGGUGGAAUGCGCAGAUAUCCGGAGGAACACCAGUGGCGAAAGCGGCCUCCUGGACCACUCCUGACACUCAGACGCGAAAGCUAGGGUAGCAAACGGGAUUAGAGACCCCGGUAGUCCUAGCCGUAAACGAUGUAGACUUGGCGUCGGUGGUUUAAUAUCCAUCGGUGUCGAAGCUAACGCGAUAAGUCUACCGCCUGGGGACUACGGCCGCAAGGUUAAAACUCAAAGGAAUUGACGGGUCCCCGCACAAGCAGCGGAGCGUGUGGUUUAAUUCGUUGCUACACGAAGAACCUUACCUGGGUUUGACAUAAAGGUGGUAGGGAGCCGAAAGGUGACCGACCCUUCGGGGAGCCUUUACAGGUGUUGCAUGGCUGUCGUCAGCUCGUGUCGUGAGAUGUUCGGUUAAGUCCGCUAACGAGCGCAACCCUCGCUGUGUGUUACAAGUGUCACACGGUACUGCCGGUAUUAAGUCGGAGGAAGGUGGGGAUGACGUCAAGUCAGCAUGACCUUUAUAUCCAGGGCUACACACACGCUACAAUGGUCGGUACAAUAGGUUGCCAAGCCGCGAGGCGGAGCCAAUCCUAAAAAGCUGGCCUCAGUUCAGAUUGCAGUCUGCAACUCGACUGCAUGAAGUUGGAGUUGCUAGUAACCGCAGGUCAGCUAUACUGCGGUGAAUACGUUCCCGGGGAUUGUACACACCGCCCG
rnacentral:rRNA from 1 species